UAUCACAGUCUACUUGCUGUCUC
rnacentral:miRNA from 1 species